AUUGAACGCUGGCGGCAGGCCUAACACAUGCAAGUCGAGCGAGCGGCGGACGGGUGAGUAAUGUCUGGGAAACUGCCUGAUGGCGGGGGAUAACUACUGGAAACGGUAGCUAAUCCCGCACACCAUCAGCUGUGCACAGAUGGGGUUAGCUAGUAGGUGGGGUAACGGCGAACAAAGGCGACUAUCCCUAUCUGGUCUGAGAGGAUGACCAGCGACACUGGAACUGAGACACGGUCCAGACUCUGACGGGAGGCAGCAGUGGGAAAGAUUGCACAAUGGGCGAAAGCCUGAUGCAGCCAUGCCGCGUGUGUGAAGAAGGCCUUCGGGUUGUAAAGAACUGUCAGCGGAGAGGCGUUACCCGCAGAAGAAGCACCGGCUAACUCCGUGCCAGCGGCCGCGGUAAUAC
rnacentral:rRNA from 1 species